rnacentral:rRNA from 1 species
UAGGGAAUAUUGGACAAUGGGCGCAAGCCUGAUCCAGCCAUCCCGCGUGAAGGAUUAAGGUCCUAUGGAUUGUAAACUUCUUUUCUCUGGGAAUAAAAACCGGUAUUUAUACUGGCUUGAAGGUACCAGAGGAAUAAGCACCGGCUAACUCCGUGCCAGCAGCCGCGGUAAUACGGAGGGUGCAAGCGUUAUCCGGAUUCACUGGGUUUAAAGGGUGCGUAGGUGGCUUUGUAAGUCAGUGGUGAAAGCCCGGAGCUUAACUCCGGAACUGCCAUUGAUACUGCUUAGCUUGAAUCAACUUGAGGUGGAUGGAAUAUUACAUGUAGCGGUGAAAUGCUUAGAUAUGUAAUAGAACACCGAUUGCGAAGGCAGUUCACUAAGGUUGUAUUGACACUGAGGC